ACAAGGAUUCCUCUAGUAACGGCGAGCGAAGGAGGAAGAGCCCAGCACCGAAUCCUUCACCGUAUUGGUGACAGGAAAUGUGGUGUUUAGGUCAUACUUUGUGCCGAUACGUCUCUCCUCAAGUCCACUUGAUUGUGGCCUCAGGCCCAGAGAGGGUGUAAGGCCCGUGGAGGCGAGAUGUUCGGUACCUGGUACGCCCUUAGAGUCGGGUUGUUUGGGAAUGCAGCCCUAAGCGGGUGGUAGACUCCAUCCAAGGCUAAAUACUAGCACGAGUCCGAUAGCGAAGAAGUACCGCGAGGGAAAGUUGAAAAGAACUUUGAAGAGAGAGUUCAAGAGUACGUGAAACCGCUGAGAGGCAAACUGGUGGAGCUGAAAUGGCUUCGAGGAAUUCAGCCGUUGGGUGCUUGUCAUAAUCAAUUGUGUCUGAUCUCACGACAGCGCAGUUGUGUUAACGUCAGUCCCAUAGGUGCACUUUCCUCGCUAGCCCAACCACGACCGGUGAAUGUUCGAUUGUCUAUCGUGUCUGGAAGGUAGCGCCGACUUCGGUCAGCGUGUUAUAGACAGAUAUAUAGAGUGAUUGAUUCACUGGAAAAUAACGCCUGCCUAUCUAGGCUCAUACGUUGGCUGUCUUGUGAAUAAUCUCUCUGAUUUCACUACUUCGGUAGGGGAGUUGGAAUUGUUUGCCUUACGGUUGGCCUCUGUGAUUGGCGUUGGUCUAGUCUGUGGUUGUGAAGUAGGUAGUCCACCUGACCCGUCUUGAAACACGGACCAAGGAGUCUAACAUGUGCGCGAGUCAUUGGGUUCAUACGAAACCUAAAGGCGCAGUGAAGGUGAAGAUCCACUUUAUGGUGGAUUGAGGUGGGAUGCUGGGCUACGCACCCGGCCGCACUACCGGCCCGUUCCACAUGUAUCUCAUGGGAGCGGAGCAAGAGCGUACACGUUGGGACCCGAAAGAUGGUGAACUAUGCUUGCGCAGGUCGAAGCCAGAGGAAACUCUGGUGGAGGACCGCAGCGAUU
rnacentral:rRNA from 1 species